rnacentral:misc_RNA from 1 species
CAACUGCGAUAAGUAGUGUGAACUGCAGAAACCUUGAACACAGAACAUUCGAAUGCACAUUGCGCCAUUGGAGUGACAUCCUUUGGCACGCCUGGUUCAGGGUCGUAAUCCUAAAGCGCACAGCGUGUGCGUGUACUGGCUGCCAGAUCAACGUGUUCGAACAUACCGUUGUUCAGGCAUUGUGUUGUUGUGCGCCUGGCGGCGUCGGGCUAGCGCUGGCACGGACUUGUAUGCAUUCAGUUGCGUCCGUGUUCCUGAAAUUGGUUUAAGCGUUGCUCGGCUGUCGCUGCGGUAGCACUCGCAUCAUUAACAUUUUCGACCUGAACUCAGACGUGAACACCCGCUGAACUUAA